UACGUAGGGUGCAAGCGUUGUCCGGAAUUACUGGGCGUAAAGAGCUCGUAGGUGGUUUGUCGCGUUGUUCGUGAAAUCUCACGGCUUAACUGUGAGCGUGCGGGCGAUACGGGCAGACUAGAGUACUGCAGGGGAGACUGGAAUCCUGGUGUAGCGGUGGAAUGCGCAGAUAUCAGGAGGAACACCGGUGGCGAAGGCGGGUCUCUGGGCAGUAACUGACGCUGAGGAGCGAAAGCGUGGGGAGCGAACAGG
rnacentral:rRNA from 1 species